rnacentral:rRNA from 1 species
AUACGGAGGGUGCAAGCGUUGUUCGGAAUUACUGGGCGUAAAGCGCGCGUAGGUGGUCUGUUAUGUCAGAUGUGAAAGUCCACGGCUCAACCGUGGAAGUGCAUUUGAAACUGGCAGACUUGAGUACUGGAGGGGGUAGUGGAAUUCCCGGUGUAGAGGUGAAAUUCGUAGAUAUCGGGAGGAAUACCGGUGGCGAAGGCGACUACCUGGCCAGAUACUGACACUGAGGUGCGAAAGCGUGGGGAGCGAACAGGAUUAGAAACCCCGGUAGUCC